AUGGCCGUACCAUGCUGAAUAUACCGGUUCUCGUUAGAUCACCGAAGUCAAGCAUCAUUGGGCGCGGUCAGUACUUGGGUGGGUGACCACCUGGGAACACCGCGUGCCGUU